AUCCUAUAUCCCAACACACACAUCCCCUCGCCCCCCACCACAUCCCCAAACUCCCCUCAUCGCCUUCCCAAGCACCCCAAUCCCCCCCAGACAGCCCCACACCCCGGUUUCACCCCGGUCCCUCCCAGUUCGCUCCCCCCACACAUCCCGGACGGCCCCGCCCCGGGGACAGGGACACAGGAAGAGGAUGAGGAGCAGGCUCGGUGUCCCCGUGUCCAGCCGGGAUCCUUCGGAGCAGGGUGUUGCAGCAGUACCACAGCACAAAGUGCUCUCACAGGACAUUCAUCUGAAAAACCAGCAGAAUAAAAAGAGUAAACAAUAAAUCAUUGCUGAACAAGGGAGCUCUGAACUCAAAAGCCAUGAUGUGGAGCUGUUAUCUGAGUUGUUGCUGUCUCUAAGCAAUAGCAGCCCUGCUCAGCACCACGAGCAGUGAAUAACCCCUGGUGUUCUGCUGUUCCUCUGACAGCUUCCACUCCCCACGAGCACAUCCCACUGCUGCAGGCCUGCCUUGCUUCACAGUCUGACCAUCCCUGCUGUGAACACAUUCCACAAGCCCAGGUUGCUCCAAGCUCUGUCCAACCUGGCUUUGAACACUUCCAGUUUGAUUGCUGAGUCCAAAUAUUCAUAAUGAAAAAAAAAAAAUUUCCAUCUACACAUCAGCAAUGAUCUACCCAGUGGCACAGGAGAGAAACAAAAAGCUGAUUUUUCCCUUGCCACAACCCCAGCUGUAAGAAUGUGAACAAUGAGGCACAGAGCACCACUGAAGUUCCAAAGAAAACAAGUUUACAUGCAGACAGGCUUGAGCCAGAUAAGCUGACACAAUCUGUAUCCCAUAUGAGAAGCUUUGCCAGGGAAUUUGAAGCCAAUCUUUGCUUCCAUUUUGAAGCAGAAAAUCCUUAUGUCAAAGAAAAAAACUGUAGAGAAAAGCAUGGACUGAGUAUUUGGGGCAAAAGGCAUAAAAAUAAAGCUGCACCACUGAA